UCAUGAAGGAACAAAUAAUAAAAAAAUACAUUUUAUUAAUAUUUUGACAAGUGAGAAUGUUGCUUCCUCCUUCUUCUCUUCCUUCUUAUUCACGGCGUUCUCAAUCCUGGAAUUUCCUUGACAAGCAUCAUUUCGCCACAUUGGAUUAAAGUGUACUACUACUCAUACUGGAAUAACUAUUAUAUAUCAUUAAAUGAAGAACAUCAAAACAUAAUAUGUGACAUCACACAAAUCUGAUAUGUUGCCUAAGAAUAUUAUGGUGUUGAGUAAAGGAUUUGACCUUGAAUUACAUGCACCUACCUACUAACCAACCAACCAAGCAGCCAAGAAGUAUGAAAAAAAGGAUUUGCAGUUGCAAACCUAUGAUAUGAGAGGUCCUGAAGGAAAUUUAUUCAGUUCUCCUUGGAAUUAGAAUCCUGACAGAACAAAUUAUUCUUCAACUCUCUUCAAAACCUGGAAUGUCCAUCUAGAAACCAAAAUCCUCAUCGUUGUAAUCACAGUGCUCUUGUAUUGGUAACUCCACCACCGUUGGCCCACCAACAUGGAGUGUUGAUUCCUAAUUGAAAUGUUGAAAAGUUGUGACUCAACUAGUUUUAAAAAUUAUUUCAUUUCAGAAUGUUCAUGCCAUAGGUGCUGGUGUUAUCGAUAUUUUUCACUGAUACUCAUCGAGAAUUAUUUUAACUUUUCAUUCUCUUUAUCUUUUCUAUGAUCAUUUUCUACACACAUAUUAUGUACCUUAUUGUAGCUGUAUUAAAUCUUCUAACUUUAUUAAUAAAUUAAUUGCAUCAAAGCAGAGCCUUUUCCUUAUUGUAAUUCAUUUUUCAAUCCUUGUAAAUGAUGCUGCUUUACUAAAUAUAAAUAAAUUCUUAUUGUAACUAGUUUAGUUCUUAAUUUGAAGGAAGAAGGCCUCAUACAGGUAAAAUGUUUUUAUUUUAUUUUUCGAGAGAGGACAUUAGUAGAAAAAGAUAAAAGGCCAUCAAAGUUAUUCAAAAGAUUUGAUCUCAUUAAACUUAUAAGGAUCCGUUGUGAAAGGAAAAAAUGCAUUUCAAUUCGGGACUUUUAAAAUAUAGUGAUUGUACUUCGUCUAUGAAAAUUGUUAUUCAAGGAUCGUUUGAAAUACCGUGCAAAGUCCGAGAGAUGGCAAUACUGAUGCAUAUCGAGGCUAUGUUUAGUUAGUAGCAUCUCUGGGAAGAACACUCACCAACUUUCAGACAAAUGGAACUAUUUAUUUCUGUUUGGCAUUCGUUUGAAUCGAGGAAUCGGUCGGAAAGAUUAUGGGGACUAUCUUUUGGAUUCGUAAGGAAUAAUCCUCAUUGACAGUCUGGAAAAGGGAAAAACUAUUACAGGAGCAUAUUGUUCAUCAGCAUUAUACCGUUUGAAAACCGUGCUGCCAGAAAAACACCCACAAAGUCCUUUUCCAUCACAACAAUGCACGUGCUCACACCUCAGCAGUUGUGGUUGCAAAAUUAAUGGAAAUAGGUUUCCAACUCGAAAUGCCCACAGAACUAGCAAUCUCACGCACCUUUACUCUUCUGUCAUCCAUCACCUUAUGAUGAAUAUUAUCAAUGAUUUCUGAAGUAGUAACCCCAACAGAUUGUCCAUAACGUUCAGCGUCACUUGUGUCAUGUGACCAGGCUGAAAAUUUUGAAAUCACUUACAAGCUGUUAUAAUCGAACGUGCAGAGUCCCCAUAAUGUUCAUCAAGCUCUUUUUAGUCUCCUGGGGCAUUUUUUUUUCAUAAAGUAAUGUUUUUAUCAGCAAAAUAAAUUCUUUUGUGUCCAUUUUUUUUUUUUUUUAAUCCUUCCUCUUCCUCGAUUUUAACGUGUGCCAAACAGAAAGAAAUAGACCGAUCUGUCUUAAAGUUGGUGUGCAUUCUUCCAAGAGAUGCUACUAACUAAAAAAACAUAACCUCGAUACGCACCAACAGUGUCAUCUCUUGGACUUUGCACGGACUUUUCAAAGGACCCUUGUACGUACAGGUAUGUCUGCUUAAAACUGAACACUUUUAAAAAUACCGCGGUUUUUUUUUAAAUUGUUCCUACAUCGUAUAUUCCUUUCUCAUCCAAUUUAGAUACUUUCAGUUGCUAAAAUAUCUUUAAAAUCAGUUGUAUUUUUCGAUUAUUCUUAAACCAAGCAAGGAAACAACGAGAAAAUUAAUUCUUCCACUUUCUGUGUAAAGUAAAAUACCUAAUGAAAUUUCUUUGAACCGCUUUCGAACUACAGUCUACUAAGCUUUUAAAUAGGAGUAUAUUCAAUGCUUCCAUUGGUAGAUAAUGUUAAAUAAAAGACAUUUUGAAGACAAAAACAUGUCUACAGAUUCAAUAUUAAGGAAGUUAUGACGAAUUUUUAAUCGGAAUUUCAUCCCGUUUUUCGAACUGUUUAUGUUAUAAGCUUCACCAAAAUCUGUGAUUUAAUAUGAUAUUUCAAUAAAACAACAGAAUUUUCUUAAACAGCUAGAUAAUUGAAUGAAAUUUUGAAGAAUUACAGAAUACAGUAUUGUGCAAAAGAUGUUCCUUUUAAGUAGCUGUAAUUAAUCAAAGCGGCCAAUCAACUAGUCCAAUUCUCGAGGUAACGCGCCCACCAAAUUGGAUUAGCAAUAAAUCGAUUGUAAUGUUUGUUGUGUGACAAGUACCACAAGUUUGCCAAGUCUAUACCGGGCAUUUGGGGCAAACUAAAAUCAUCAGUUAUCAUGGUGCGAUAGCGAUUUCCAUUUACAGUAACGUGGCGAUUAUCAUCAUCAACGCAAAAAUAUGGCCCUCAAGCAUGAAGUCAACACCAAAAAGUAAUUUUUUGGUGUGAUGAAAUGAUGUCUCCUGAAGUACAUACUUGUGGAUUGCUGCCUGACCAAUAAUGCAUAUUUUACUUAUUAACAAAGUCAUUGAGCCAAAAAUGAGCUUCAUCACUGAAGAUGAUUUAUAACUAAAAAACAGCAUCAUUAUUGAACGGUUAUUUUGAUAAUAAAUUUGGAUAAUUUGCAAUCGCUACUAAAUUGAUACAAUUAAGGCAUGGUACGUAUUUUAAAACUUCAAUCUCAGGGGUUUCUUGAACAAAAAGAUCUGAUGAAAGUGGGGUUUGAACUUCGUGAUCAGGACAAUCUUCCUUAUUUGAUGCCCUAUGAGUUUUAGCAUAGGAAUGUUCUAACAUUAGAAUUCCUUGCUUCCUUUAAAGUUCUUAUGCGUAUCUGUUUCGGUUAAACGAGAGGUUUCAUUUGUUUUUUAUCUUAGAAUGUUCAAAUAAAGUAGGAAUUACAUUAUGUAACAAACGCAACCAUCCUUCUAGAGACUUCCGCAGAAACAUUGAUUCUUCAGUGAGCCUAAAGCGAAUAAUUUAAUUAUGAAUAAUUAGAAUAUGGAGCCCAGUGACAUUCUUAUGAAACAAUCCAUUAAUUCAAUUUUCAUAUCCUUCACAUAGUAAAAAAAGAGUUAUUAUAUUACUUGUCAAACUCUUGAGUGUUUGACAGGAGUCCAAUUCGCACGUUGGAUGGCAUUGAUCCACAACUUCCUCCGAUUAAUGUCGUUUGGAAAAUUAAUCAUUUUCAUAGGCGAUAAGCCAGGAUACUUUUUAUUCGAACUUGACUUUUCAUUACAAUACACCGCACAACACGUUAUCAUUAUGAAAAAUAUAUUGCAAUUAAUAAGUAUUGCCUAAUUUCUGAUAAGUAAUCAAAAUAAGCCCACAAUGUAGUACAUAAAUUGCCUACAAGCCUCUAAGAUAGACCUUACUGCAGCUGACAAUUUUAAGCUAAUCAGCAAAGAGAAGGGGAAAAAAUUCUGUUCUUCUACUGAGUGUCCAACAAGUUAGUAUAUGAGUUGUGUCAAUAGGAAACUUGCAACGCAGUCUGGAUUACGUUAGCCGAAAACUUUUUGAUGACGUCACAACGGAGCAAAGUUCAGUGUUUCUGACUAGACUUAAGUGUUAACUCAUAUUAUUCCAAGAAUUAUGCCUCCUUCUAUAGCUACUAGGCAUAUUUGUGCCGUGGAAACUUG
rnacentral:lncRNA from 1 species